rnacentral:rRNA from 1 species
GACGAACGCUGGCGGCGUGCCUAACACAUGCAAGUCGAACGGACAGGCCCUGCUCUUGUUGGGUGCUCGAGUGGCGAACGGGUGAGUAACACGUGAGUAACCUGUCCCUGACUUUGGGAUAACUUCAGGAAACUGGGGCUAAUACCGCAUAGAAGCUCCUGCUGCGUGUUGGUGGUUGGAGAGUUUCGGCGGUUGGGGCUGGAUGGGAGGCUUAUCCGCUUGUUUGUGGGGUUGUGGCUGUCCAAGGGUUCGACGGGUAGCCGGCCUGGGAGGUUGAACGGCGACAAUGGUACUACGAGACGGAGCAGACGCGUACGGGAGGCAGCAGGGGGGAGCAUGGCAGAGUGGGCGGAAGCCUGAUACAGAAACGCCGCGUGCGUGAUGACGUCUUUCUGGGGGUGAACCGCUGUCGCAGGAGACAAAGCGUGAGUGACGGUAAUGGGUAAAGAAGCACCGGCUAACUACGUG